AUUGAACGCUGGCGGCAUGCCUUACACAUGCAAGUCGAACGGCAGCACGGGAGCAAUCCUGGUGGCGAGUGGCGAACGGGUGAGUAAUAUAUCGGAACGUGCCCGGUCGUGGGGAUAACGUAGCGAAAGCUACGCUAAUACCGCAUACGAUCUACGGAUGAAAGCGGGGGAUCGCAAGACCUCGCGCGAUUGGAGCGGCCGAUAUCAGAUUAGGUAGUUGGUGAGGUAAAGGCUCACCAAGCCGACGAUCUGUAGCUGGUCUGAGAGGACGACCAGCCACACUGGGACUGAGACACGGCCCAGACUCCUACGGGAGGCAGCAGUGGGGAAUUUUGGACAAUGGGCGGCAAGCCUGAUCCAGCAAUGCCGCGUGCAGGAUGAAGGCC
rnacentral:rRNA from 1 species